GAGUGUGAGGGAGAUCUGGCUGCAAAAUCUGUCACCCCACUGAUCUCUAGGGUUGGCUUGGCUUAUCUGGCUUCUUAGGCGAGUGUUCCCUUCCUCCCUCACUGCUCCAUGCGCAUCCCCCUCCCAAAGCUGCUCACUCGGUUGAAGAGGAUGAACAUUCCCACUAGAGAAGGACCGUUCUUCUGUAUAGGGUUUAUGAGUAGCUGCACACCCCUGCUGGAACCUCCCAAGCCCUCUCAAGAAAUCCAACUGCUCCCAGAGCACCAUGCUGGAGAGGUCAUGGGAAAGGCUCAGGUCCACUGUUCCAGCUGAGCCCAGCCUUCUC
rnacentral:snRNA from 1 species